rnacentral:rRNA from 1 species
UCAGUAACGCGUGGUCAACUUACCCUAAGGAGGGGUAUAACCUCGGGAAACUGAGGACAAUGCCCCAUAGUUGAGAAGGCUUGGAAAAGUUUCUCAUCGAAAGAGUGUCAUAAACGGUUGACAUUUCGCCAUAGGAUAGGACCGCGUUCGAUUAUGGUAGUUGGUGAGGUAACGGCUCACCAAGCCUAUAAUCGAUAAGGGCCGUGAGAGCGGUAGCCCUGAGAUGGGUACUGAGACAAGGACCCAGGCCCUACGGGGUGCAGCAGGCGCGAAACCUUCGCAAUGCGCGAAAGCGUGACGAGGCUACCCGGAGUGCUUCCUGAAGAAGGAAGCUGUUGUCAGUGUUUAACUAGCCUGACGAGUAAGGAGAGGGCAAGGCUGGUGCCAGCCGCCGCGGUAAAACCAGCUCUUCAAGUUGUCGGGACGAUUACUGGGCUUAAAGAGUCCGUAGCCGGUUUAGCAAGUCCUUGGUAAAAUCUGGCAGCUUAACUGUCAGUACGCUAAGGGAAACUUACUUUACUNAGAGGGGCCGGGGAAAGGUCUGGNGGUACCUUUCANGGGCUAAGGGGUGGAAUUCCUAUAAUCCUUGGGGGGGACCAACCAGUGGGCGAAAGCGCCAGACUGGACGCGCCUGACGUGAGGGACGAAAGCCGGGGAGCAACCCGAUUAGAUACCCGGGUAGUCCUGGCCGUAAACGAUGCGUGCGAGGUGUUGGUAAGGCCACGAGCCGUAUCAGUGCCGUAGGGAAACCGAUAAGCACGCCGCCUGGGGAGUACGGUCGCAAGGCUGAAACUUAAAGGAAUUGGCGGGGGAGCACCACAAGGGGUGAAGCCUGCGGUUUAAUUGGACUCAACGCCGGGAAACUUACCGGGGGCGACAGCGGAAUGAAGGUCAGGCUGACGACCUUACCAGACUAGCUGAGAGGUGGUGCAUGGCCGUCGCCAGUUCGUGCCGUGAGGUAUCCUGUUAAGUCAGGCAACGAACGAGACCCGUGCCUUUAGUUGCCAGCAAGAAGUUACGACUUCGUUGGGAACACUAAAGGGACUGCCGUCGAUAAGGCGGAUGAAGGAGCGGGCCACGGCAGGUCAGUAUGCCCCGAAUCCCCCGGGCCACACGCGGGCUGCAAUGGUAUGGACAAUGGGCCGCAACUCCGAAAGGAGAAGCCAAUCCCGAAACCAUAUCUCAGUUGGGAUUGUCGGC